rnacentral:rRNA from 1 species
AGGACGAACGCUGGCGGCGUGCUUAACACAUGCAAGUCGAGCGGUAAGGCCCUUUCGGGGGUACACGAGCGGCGAACGGGUGAGUAACACGUGAGGCAAUCUGCCCUUCACUUCGGGACUAAGCCUCGGGAAACGGGGUCUAAUACCGGAUAUGACCAUGCCAUGCAUGUGGUGUGGUGGAAAGUUCUGGCGGUGAGGGAUGAGCUCGCGGCCUAUCAGCUUGGUUGGUGGGGUAAUGGCCUACCGAAGGCGUUCGACGGGUAGCCCGGCCUGAGGAGGGUGACCGGCCACACGUGGGACUGGAGACGACGGCCCAGGACUCCGUACGGGAGGCAGCAGGUGGGAAUACGUUGGACGAAGUGGGACGAAGCGUGAUCAGCACGCCGCG